UGCGCCCUACGGGAGGCAGCAGUGGGGAAUAUUGGGCAAUGGGCGCAAGCCUGACCCAGCAACGCCGCGUGAAGGAAGAAGGCUUUCGGGUUGUAAACUUCUUUUGUCAGGGACGAAGCAAGUGACGGUACCUGACGAAUAAGCCACGGCUAACUACGUGCCAGCAGCCGCGGUAAUACGUAGGCGGCAAGCGUUAUCCGGAUUUACCGGGUGUAAAGGGCGUGUAGGCGGGGAAGCAAGUCAGAUGUUAAAACAACGGGCUCAACC
rnacentral:rRNA from 1 species